CAUGGAGAGUGUUGUGUGCGUGCUUGUGUGAGAGAGAAAUGAUCUUGACGGGCCAUUAUAACUGUUAUACCCCUAACAGUUUGGUGGAGGAUUUGGCGGGCAAUCACUCCGUGGUGACAUCUCUGGCAAAUCAGCAAACAAGAUGGCUGAAUCCGACGACAUACUGAAGCUGCUAAUUCUUCAAGAAGAAGUGCGUAGUGAGAGACGACUGAAAGUGAAACGAGCUUUCAUCCUAUUGGUACACUAGAUUCGAUGACCCUUGGAAGGAGACUGCACAUGUUGAGCAUUGUUUAGGUAAAGAAAUUCAACAGUGGUUUGUUAAGAUGUUUCCUCCUGGAGAUGUUGAUAAAUGUAGAGAAAUUUCUGAGAAGCUCACCGGUGUGAAGAUGAUGGAGAUACCCUGGGAGGUGUGUAAUGCUUCUUUUGUUAAGUCAGGUUACACUUGGGCUAGUUUUUCUGAUGUGUUGCACCACUAUGAGUUUGCUAGGAACCUUGCUAACAAAACUGUUUUCAACAUGGAUC